ensembl:lncRNA
ACAAUCCAGACCUGAGGAAUAGGGGACAGGAAGGGAUGCAAAAUAUGAGUCACUUAGAAAUGUCAUUUUUUGAAAGAAAAGCAAAUUUUUUGUUCAUUAAAAUAACAUCAAAUUGAUCAGAAAUACAUUGUACACAUUUUUAAUGUUGUAAAUUACUAUUGUAGCUGGAAAUGGCUGGUUUUUAAUGGAAUAUUUACAUAGGCGUAUCUAAGCCCAUUAUUAGCAACCAUCAAUGGCAUGUUGUGUUAGCUAAUCCAAGUUUAUAAUUUUAAAAGGCUAAUUGAUUAUUAGAAAACCAUUUUGCAAGUAUAUUAGCACAGCUGAAAACUGUUGUUCUGUUUAAAGAAGCAAUAAAACUGGCCUUCAUUAGACUAGUUGAGUAUCUGAAGCAUCAGCAUUUGUGGGUUCGAUUACAGGCUCAAAAUGGCUAGAAACGAAGACCUUUCUUCUGAAACCUGUCAGUCUAUUCUUGUUCUGAGAAAUUAAGGCUAUUCCAUGCGAGAAAUUGCCAAGAAACUGAAGAUCUCGUACAACGCUGUGUACGGUAGUGUAUGUAAGUGUUCAGAAACAUAUUCUAUAGAGUUGGACUUCGGAAAACAGACUGUAGAUCAUAAACUGCACGUGUUUGAAAUUAAUAUCAGCCACCUUCAUAGGUUCCGUCGCUGGUCCUGUGUUAGUGAUCUGCUGUUCAAACAAUAAAGCCGGCUGUGUACUACUCCCUUCACAGAACAGCGCAAACUGGCCCUAACCAGAAUAGAAAGAGGAGUGGGAGGCCCCGGUGCACAACUAAGCAAGAGGAUAAGUACAUUAGAGUGUCUAGUUUGAGAAACAGACGCCUCACAAAUUCUCAACUGGCAGCUUCAUUAAAUAGUACCCAGUCUCAAUGUCAACAGUGAAGAGGUGACUCUGGGAUGCUGGCCUUCUAGCCAGAGUUGCAAAGAAAAAUACAUAUCUCAGACGAGCCAAUAAAAACAAAAGAUCAGAAAGAACACAGAUACUGGACAGAGGAAAUCUGCCUAGAAGGCCAGCAUCCCGGAGUCGCUCUUCACUGUUGACGUUGAGACUGGCGUUUUGCUGGUACUAUUUAAUGAAGCUGCCAGUUGAGGACUUGUGAGGCGUCUUUUUCUCAAACUAGACACUCGGAAUUGUAGUUCACAUGGAGCCAACCAUGGUUAAAUGUAACCGCUGAAAACCCCUAUUUACCGAGAAUGGUUUUUGAGAGCUAGGUAUGUGUUUGCACCAUUGAAGUCGAAAAACAGUAUGAGAAUGAUAAGUUGUAGUUAUAUAGAUGAAAGGAAAAGUGUGAGCAUUCUUCAUAUUUACUUAAUAGGACUAGGACUGUAUAUAGGCCUUCCUAAAUGAUCUAACUUUUAUCAUAUCAGCACCACCAUAUAAUUAGUUCUAGCCUACGGAAUAUCAAUAAAAAGAUCAGGGAAAUGUUUUAGGUCUAUCUGUCAUAACACAAUGUCAAAUUGAUAUUCUACCAAAAAUUCUACUUGACAAACUAGAAUGCACUUGGCCAAGCUGGUUAAAUGACAUUUAAUUGGAGUUGGUUUUUGUUCAUGGCCGGACUAACAUAUUUGGGGCCGCAGGGCACCGACCUUCAGCUGGAGUGCUUGGCAAGUGUCAUGUCAGUCACAAUGUUUAAAGUAUGUUCCAGUGUCAACGUGCAUUGAAAUCUGACAUGAAUGGGUGCAUUCCAGAUACACAUAUCAUUAUAUUAUAUUGAUGUGGUUCAUGAGACGUCAAAUGCUUAUCCUGACACUGAAAUGAUCUGAUGCAUGUCAGCUACACAAAUUCCAUACAUGCCCUAUAUGUCUUCUGACUUUCUAGACCAUGGGAGGAUCCCUGUAGACCAGGGGUAUUCAACCAGGGGUCCAUGGAACCCGAGUACUGCAGGGGGUCUGCGAAAAUCUCUAUAUACAGUGGGGAGAACAAGUAUUUGAUACACUGACGAUUUUGCAGGUUUUCCUACUUACAACGCAUGUAGAGGUCUGUAAUUUUUAUCAUAGGUACACUUCAACUGUGAGAGACGGAAUCAAAAACAAAAAUCCAGAAAAUCACAUUGUAUGAUUUUUAAGUAAUUAAUUUGCAUUUUAUUGCAAAUUAAAAUUUAGAAAAUGACACUUGUUGGAGCCAAUUACGCUCACUGGACGGUCUGACAUAGGCUUUGAAAAAGCACCCACGAAUAAGCUACCAGUGCAGCAGGUGCCGCUGGCAAGCUUUCUUAACUAGGAUAUGCAUUUUUGCCAACAUGUGGCUAACCUUUGUUUAACCUGCUAAACAACUGCUCUUAGUGUACCAUAGAAAGCCCUUGUUUCUCUAUGGUGUAGUAGGUCAGGGCAUAACGAGGGGGUGUUCUAGUUUUACAUUUCUAUGUUGGUGUUUUGGUUUGGUUCCCAAUUAGAGGCAGCUGGUAAUCGUUACCUCUAAUUGGGGAUCAUAUUUAGGCAGCAUUUGUCACACAUGUGUUUGUGGGAUAUUGAUUGUUUGUUAGUGUGUUUGGGCACUACGUCCUCACGGUCUUUGUAAGUUUGUUAUUUUGUUUUGUUAGUUUCACUUAAAUAAAUAUGUGGAACUAUACUCACACUGCGCCUUGGUCCGCUUAUUUCCAAGAUCGUGACAGAAUAUCCCACCAACAAAGGACCAAGCAGCGUGAAAGUGAGAAGGAAGUUUUGGACUUGGGAGGACAUGAGAGAACAUGAGACCCUUCCAUGGCGGGAGUUGCCAAGGAGCAUGGAAGGACAGCGUCGACACCGGGGACCACGGCCACAGAAACCCCAUGGAGCUGGUGGUCGAGCAGCAGAGAGUGCCAGAACCUGUUUGGGAGUUGGAGGAGGAAUUUGAUGAAAGAUUCCGGAGGGAGGUGGUAGCGAUGAGAAUGCUGCCGUACAGGUGUGCUGAAGAGCGUGACACCAGUCCGGUGCCAUCUACACCGGUUUUACGCAUCAGGCCUCCAGUGCGUCCUGUGCCUGCUCCUCGCACCCUCUCUGAAGUGCGUGUCACCAGUCCGGUGCCACCUGUACUGGCUCCACGCACUAGACCUCCAUUGCGCAGUCCCAGUCCAGAGCUUCCGGCGACGGUCCCCAGUCCAGAGCUUCCGGCGACGGUCCCCGGUCCUGAACCUCCUGGCGACGGUCCCCGGUCCUGAACCUCCUGGCGACAGUCCACGGUCCGAAGAGUCCAGGCACGGCUUCCAGUCCCGCUCCAAGGCCGGAGCCUUCCUCUGCGCCGGUGUCCAGUCCAAACACGGCGUCCAGUCCAACUCCAUGGUAGGAGCCCUCUGCGCCGGUGUCCAGUCCCGCUCCUAGGCCGGAACCUUCCUCAGCGCCGGUGCCCAGUCCAGGCACGGCGACCAGCCCAGCUCCAAGGCCGGAGCCUUCCGCUGCGCCGAUGUCCAGGCACGUCGUACAGCCCGGUGCCAUGGUCGGAUCCGGGGUCUGGGGGGGGCUUCGACCCGCACCAGAGCCGCGACCAACACUAGUCACCCCC